rnacentral:tRNA from 1 species
GCCUUCGUGGUGUACUAGCCAGCACGCUCGACGCGUAUCCCAAAGGUCCGUGGUUCGAAUCCCGGUGAAGGCG